rnacentral:ncRNA from 2 species
CAGAGCUUUCGGGGCGGGGUGAAAGUCCCCACCGGCGGUAUUGGCCCUUGGCCUGAGCCCGCGAGCGGCUUCCUUCUUUAGGGGGCGGCAUGAUCUGGUGAGAGUCCAGAGCCGACGGUGAUAGUCCGGAUGAGAGAAAGCGUGA